GACGAACGCUGGCGGCGUGCUUAACACAUGCAAGUCGUACGGGCUUGGGGGGCAACUCUCAAGUCAGUGGCGAACGGGUGCGUAACACGUGAGCAACUUGCCCUAUGGUGGGGGAUAGCCGGCCCAACGGCCGGGUAAUACCGCAUAUGGCGCCGGGGUCACAUGGCCCUGGUGGGAAAGCGGCCGCAAGGUCGCGCCAAAGGUGGGGCUCGCGACGUAUCAGCUAGUUGGCGGGGUAACGGCCCACCAAGGCUACGACGCGUAGCUGGUCUGAGAGGAUGGCCAGCCACAUUGGGACUGAGAUACGGCCCAGACUCCUACGGGAGGCAGCAGUGGGGAAUAUUGCGCAAUGGCCGCAAGGCUGACGCAGCGACGCCGCGUGUGGGAUGACGGCCUGGU
rnacentral:rRNA from 1 species